GAUGAACGCUGGCGGCGUGCCUAAUACAUGCAAGUAGAACGCUGAAGCUUGGUGCUUGCACCGAGCGGAUGAGUUGCGAACGGGUGAGUAACGCGUAGGUAACCUGCCUCUUAGCGGGGGAUAACUAUUGGAAACGAUAGCUAAUACCGCAUAAAAGUCGACAUCGCAUGAUGUUGACUUGAAAGGUGCAAUUGCAUCACUAAGAGAUGGACCUGCGUUGUAUUAGCUAGUUGGUGAGGUAACGGCUCACCAAGGCGACGAUACAUAGCCGACCUGAGAGGGUGAUCGGCCACACUGGGACUGAGACACGGCCCAGACUCCUACGGGAGGCAGCAGUAGGGAAUCCUCGGCAAUGGGGGCAACCCUGACCGAGCAACGCCGCGUGAGUGAAGAAGGUUUUCGGAUCGUAAAGCUCUGUUGUAAGAGAAGAACGAGUGUGAGAGUGGAAAGUUCACACUGUGACGGUAACUUACCAGAAAGGGACGGCUAACUACGUGCCAGCAGCCGCGGUAAUACGUAGGUCCCGAGCGUUAUCCGGAUUUAUUGGGCGUAAAGCGAGCGCAGGCGGUUAGAUAAGUCUGAAGUUAAAGGCUGUGGCUUAACCAUAGUACGCUUUGGAAACUGUUUAACUUGAGUGCAGAAGGGGAGAGUGGAAUUCCAUGUGUAGCGGUGAAAUGCGUAGAUAUAUGGAGGAACACCGGUGGCGAAAGCGGCUCUCUGGUCUGUAACUGACGCUGAGGCUCGAAAGCGUGGGGAGCAAACAGG
rnacentral:rRNA from 1 species